UUGCAAAGCAAAUUCCCAAUGAGAUGGAUUGCAAUUUUGUCCUGACAGGAUUCAUGGGGAGCCAGUAUAUCAUGUGAGGCUCUGAGUCAUGCCAAUUGAAGAGUGAGACAGCCAGAGCAUUUUAUACCAACUUCUGUCAGUCGCUGGAUGAGAGCUGUUCUGGGGACUUUCCUCUCCUGGUGCUGCCACAGGCAGAGUGAGCCACACAAGCAACAAGAUGCUAGAAGUUGGAAAUUGGCUCUGCAAUGCUGACCCGGUAAAGCCUAAAGGCAAAGAAAAAUGUGAGAGAUGACUUAGAAUGAAGGCCAAUCCUAGUUCUCAGCUCUUCCAAGCCUCCACCAAAAACAAACAAGCAACAAAGCAGUGAUAUUUAUGCAGAGAGGACCACUCCUGUUUGUGUCAUGGUCAUAACCACUUUCUGAACUGGGAAAAUCACACUGAAUGGAUGUCUUGGGUUCCUUGCUCUACAUGCCUAAUGAUCUCAUCCAGAGUCAUGUGGACGUGAAUCCUGCAUUUGGAUCUCCACCCCAAUCUGCCUCUGGCACGUAGAGCCCCCUGCCUCUCCUCCUGGAAUGUCUAACUGUCACGUCCAUCCCAGCACGUCCAAAGUGGAACUCCUGAGCACUGGCAUCCUGUCUUCUUCAUCUCGGUCCACAGACACAGCAUUUAAUACUCAGUCCCCAAACCUUGAAGGGAUCUUUGACUUUUUUAUAUCUCCCCCUUAUUUCUCAUUUCAUCUUGUAAUGACUCCACUGGACACCAUCUUCUCGGGACAAGCGUGUACCCACAGAAUCUGACCAUCCACUCUGCUGACACCUAGACUCAGCCACAGAUGUCUGUCACCUGGGUUGAAAUAUGCAGCUGAUGGAUUUCUCUACCUACAGUUAGUUCUCCAGAUACCAGUUAGAGUGGCAUUUGUUAAUAUAAAUUAGGUAAUUUCACUCUCUUACUCAAAAAGUUGCCCAUGGUCUCCAUCACACUCAAAAUGAAACUUAAGCACUGUGUGCUAUCAAGGCCCACAGGAAAGCAAAUCGUUGGCUCUUUCCUGUUGCUUAUCUCCUUCCUGCCUGCCUUGGUCAUAAUCCCCUCAGGAACUGCAAGGAUGAAGAAGAGGAGACUAGGCAGAAAAAGUAGGAAAGAAAAUGUUAAUGCAUUGGGUUUCUCAGGGAGGUGUCAGAUACUGAGGAUAAGUGGAAUCAAAAACAAAAAUCAGACAGUGAACAUUGCCCUUCCAGUGACACAUAGAAGGCAAUUGGAUUAAAUCAGAAACUGAAGAUCUGGAAUCCACUUUCUUUUUAUUUGUAAUUUGCCAUACAAACCAAGGAGUUACAAUGGACUAAAUGUUUGUGUCUCCCUGACAUUCCUAUGUUGAAAUCCUAACCCACAAUGUGAUUUGUAUUAGAAAGUGGAGGCUUUCAGGGCUAAUUAGGUCAUGUGGGGGGAGUCCUCAUGAGGAGAUUAGCGCCCUUCUAAGAAGUCAGAGAGGUAGCUAGCUUUUCUUCACCACCACAUGUGCAUCCAUCCGGAAGUUAGCUGCCUACAACCUAAAAGGGGAUCCUCACCAGAUCUCUACCAAGCUGGUGCCUUGAUCUCAGACUUCUAGCCUCCAGAACGGUGAGAGUAAAUGUUGGAUUGUUGAUGAGCCACUCAUUUAUGGUAUGUAGUCACAGCAGCCUGAACUAAGACAACAGCCAUGUGUUCGUAGUUGUCCCUGAGAAACAUUUUAAUGACACGUGCUCUUCACACCUCUGAAACUUUGGUUCUUUAACUCCACAAGACUCUGAUUAGGUGAACACAUUUUGUAGUAUGGUGACAGGGAGGCAUGCACUCUCUAUUUUAUUUCAAUGGAGAGAAGAUAAAUAUUCAUAUUUUUAGAGGCACAACAGAAAAAUUAUUUUCAGCAUCAUCAGGAUUAGUGAUUAAAGAACAAUAAGGUUUAGGAAACAUCAGUCUUGCUCAAUUUAUUCAACGUGCUCACAAGGCAUUGCUUUUAUGUACUUACUGUUAAUUGUCAUGGAUGUUGUCAAAACACUUAGCAUUGCCUAAGCCUCUCAGUUGAAGACAAUUGGACAAUUACAGCAUGUACGUCACGUAAAACUCAAAAAGUUAAGUGGAUAUAAUACACUUUAGAAAACUAUCUGCUAUAUAAUAAACCCAGUAAAAAUUAAUGAUUACUAUCAUUAAUACAUUAACAUAAUUAUAACUAUCAAUACAAUCAUACUUCAUGUAAUAUUAAUAGGAUUAAUACUUUAUAUAACUUUUAAAGUUUUGUUCAUGUAACUAUUUACGUUCUUAAUUCAUUUACGAUAGUCUUUACUUGAGGUAUUAACUGUUGUCUAAAUUUCCUUAAAUUCUGGAUUGAUUACAUACAAAAGCUUUCUAUAUUAUAAAAAUCAACUUAAGUCAACUUCAAUUAGUCCAGUAAGAGUGACUUGAAAUUAAUAAUUACUUUUGAAUCCAAGCUGUUAAAUGAAUUUAAAUAUAUUGAUGCAUAUUUAUAUAUUUAUGUAUAUUUACAUAUUUCAUGCAUUUUUUACCAAAGGAAAAAAAAACACAAAAAGAAAUAAUAUUGCCUAUAAUAUCAUCAUUAAUAUGUUCUAUGCAACAUUUCAUUUUAUUGUAUGCAUAAAAAUUCUACAAAAGUGGAACUGCACAAAA